ACCAUUUUGGCAUGAAAAAUUUUGCUUUGGGCAUAACACCUCAACGCCCAAUGGCAUCUGCAGAAAAUUUCGGUUAAGCAAGUCAGGAUAAGCCGAUACACAAUCGGGAUUAUUGUUUUUCCGCCAGAUUAAAUAUGCUGACGGAAUUAAAAAUAAUCGCGGGAUACCAGAGGCAAAGCGUGGUUACAGCAAGUUGUCUUGUGAAGAGGUUUCAACCCGAAGUUCAUCCGGGGGCAAACCGACACUCAAAAUAACCGGCUGCCAGUUUUCACGUCGGCUUAAAGCGGGUGAAAGUCCUUUCGCCAGUAAAAACCCGCCGACGCCACCCAGCAACGCUCCCGUCAUGGCGGCAAUAUCGGUGUUGAAUAGCAGUUGAAACAAUCCCGCAACGAUAAACAGCCCGACAAGCGGUGACAUAUAAACCAGCAGCGCGGAACUCAGCAAACUGCCUUCCGCAAUACCCAGCUCCACUUUCUGCCCGGCAACAAGUGGUUGCUCGCAAGGGACCACAAUUGAAUGGUGGGUUUGCGGGCCGAGCUUAUUGAGAAUGCGGCUACCACAGCCUGAACGGGACGCACAGCUGUUGCACGAGGAUUUGACGUCACAACUUACUAUGGCUUCGCCAUUUUGCCACGAUACUACCGUGGCCCAUUCUUUCAUCAUGGUUGGGAAGCCCUGAAUUUAACGCUAUCCGCGAUUCGU
rnacentral:ncRNA from 1 species